UCAGGGUCAUAAGAAGUUUGGGAGAGUAGAUCUCUUCCCAUCUUCUAUUUGGCUCUGUCCCUUUACAUUUUUGUUUCACUUUUCCUCUAAAUUCCAGGCGCGUUUUUGAUUCUUCAAACUUGAGUCGAUAACAAUGGUGUGCCGGGGCAUGAUCAAGGAGAAGAAGAAGGUAUUGAAACCAAAAAUGAAGAGUUUUAAAGUGAAGGUCACACGAGUAAAAAGAGCAGAUAUAGGAAAGAUACUGGAGGAUCAAAGAUGCAUAAAAGAGGAGCAAAGAAUUAAAGGAAAAUGGCAACUCGAAGAACUCAUCUUCGAAACUCAAUUUAUUGUGGAGCAGUCGACUUCCAAUAGAAUUCAGCUUGAUAUAACGUUCAAUAUCUUAGGAGCUGGCCAAGAUGGUGAAGAUGAUAGCUGCCGCCCUCUAUAGCUUCCUUAGUUUUGUUUCUGAUGAAAGAAAGAUAUAGGAUUUUUCACCUUUUAAAUGGCAAUGUUAUUGUUAAUGUCGGCCAUUAACGGUCCAAAAAGAUGUAACAUUGCAAUCAAUUUUUCUUCGUAAAUAUAUUUCUUAAUG